AUGGGGCGGGGUGAGGGGCUGGACUUGGCGGGUGGACGUUGCCCUCCCUGGAGGCGGGUGCCCUCACCCUGCUAGCCUGUCCUCACCAUCCCACCCCAGGGUGGUGGCAGCUGGGAGUCCACAGGUCCGGAGGCCCACAGGGGGCAUCUGGGCUUCCUGAACCCCAGUCCAGACCUGCCUGUCCAUGGAGGGAAGGUCUCGGAGCCCCCAGUGUGACCUGCCAGGCCUCUGCUGAGAGGGGCACAGGCAUGAGAAGGCUCUGGGCUUUCUCAAGGCACCGGCCCAGCCUCCUAAAUUCACGGAAAAAGCUAAAUAAGGAGAAGCUGCCGCCCCAGCGCCAGCACCCAGAUGGCUCAGGCUGGGGCACCGCCUGGCUCUGCUGCGGCCGCGGCCUCAGCAAAUGCUUUUCCAGAUGUGCCUCCUGCCUGGUGCCAGGAGAGACCUGAGCGCCAGCCAAGUGCCCGUUGUUCCCAGGAAAGUCCUGGCCCGGCUUCCUGGGACCCAGCACUCCAGGCUCAGGCCUCGUCCAGAACCGGCCACCAGGUUCCAGAUGCUACCAUGAUGCCAACCUGACUUUCCUGGGCAGAUGACUCCCUCAGUGUGUCCUGAAGCCCCACCUCCUCAGAGCCCUGCCCCACAAGGGAAAGAGAGAGGCAGGCUGGGAGUAUGGAUUCAACUGCCAACGCCCAUGUUCAGCCAGGAAGCAAUUACAGAAGCCAGACCUUCCACCUUCUGCAUCCCACAAUGACCCUGGGUCCAUG